rnacentral:misc_RNA from 1 species
UACGUAGGGUCCAAGCAUUAUCCGGAAUUACUGGGCGUAAAGAGUACGUAGGUGUUCUAUUAAGUCGGUCGUUAAAUCCCACAGCUUAACUGUGGGGCUGCGAGCGAUACUAAUAGAAUUGAGUGUCUCAGGGGCAAGCAGAAUUCUUGGAGUAGGGGUGAAAUCCGUUGAUACCAAGAGGAAUACCAAUGGCGAAGGCAGCUUGCUAGGAGAAUACUGACACUGAGGUACGAAAGCGUGGGGAGCAAACGGG